GCUUUCAGUUAAGUUGAAAUAAGUCGUAACAAAGUAGAUUUACUGGAAAGUGAAUCUAGAAUAU
rnacentral:rRNA from 1 species